CCUACGGGAGGCAGCAGUGAGGAAUAUUGGUCAAUGGACGCAAGUCUGAACCAGCCAUGCCGCGUGCAGGAAGACGGCUCUAUGAGUUGUAAACUGCUUUUGUACGAGGGUAAACGCAGAUACGCGUAUCUGUCUGAAAGUAUCGUACGAAUAAGGAUCGGCUAACUCCGUGCCAGCAGCCGCGGUAAUACGGAGGAUUCAAGCGUUAUCCGGAUUUAUUGGGUUUAAAGGGUGCGUAGGCGGUCGGAUAAGUUAGAGGUGAAAUCCCGAGGCUCAACUUCGGAAUUGCCUCUGAUACUGUUCGGCUAGAGAGUAGUUGCGGUAGGCGGAAUGUGUGGUGUAGCGGUGAAAUGCUUAGAGAUCGUACAGAACACCGAUUGCGAAGGCAGCUUACCAGGCUACUUCUGACGUUGAGGCACGAAAGCGUGGGGAGCGAACAGGAUUAGAUACCCCUGUAGUC
rnacentral:rRNA from 1 species